UACAGAGGUCUCAAGCGUUGUUCGGAUUCAUUGGGCGUAAAGGGCGCGUAGGCUGCGGGGCAAGUCGGGUGUGAAAUCUCAGAGCUCAACUCUGAAACUGCACUCGAUACUGCUUUGCUCGAGGACUGGAGAGGAGAUUGGAAUUCACGGUGUAGCAGUGAAAUGCGUAGAUAUCGUGAGGAAGACCAGUGGCGAAGGCGGAUCUCUGGACAGUUCCUGACGCUGAGGCACGAAGGUCAGGGGAGCAAACGGG
rnacentral:rRNA from 1 species